rnacentral:tRNA from 1 species
GGUGAGGUGCGAGAGUGGUUGAAUCGGGCGGUCUCGAAAACCGUUGAGGUCGAAAGGCCUCCGUGGGUUCGAAUCCCACCCUCACCG